CUGGAACCCAGGGAAGCCACCCACACUGCUAGAUAUACACAGAAAUGCAGAAUAAUCCUCCCCUCAUACAAAUAAUACGAACAGCCCACAAACAAACAUACACACAAUCUGUACAAACGUAACCCGCUAACAAUCCACAUACAUGCACACAACCCCACAUGCAGCUUCUCACAUGCAAUACUCCAAACAGCCCCUCACAUAC